AUGAACGCUGGCGGCGUGCCUAAUACAUGCCAGUCGAGCGAACGGACGAGAAGCUUGCUUCUCUGAUGUUAGCGGCGGACGGGUGAGUAACACGUGGAUAACCUACCUAUAAGACUGGGAUAACUUCGGGAAACCGGAGCUAAUACCGGAGAAUAUUUUGAACCGCAUGGUUCAAAAGUGAAAGACGGUCUUGCUGUCACUUAUUGAUGGAUCCGCGCUGCAUUAGCUAGUUGGUAAGGUAACGGCUUACCAAGGCAACGAUGCAUAGCCGACCUGAGAGGGUGAUCGGCCACACUGGAACUGAGACACGGUCCAGACUCCUACGGGAGGCAGCAGUAGGGAAUCUUCCGCAAUGGGCGAAAGCCUGACGGAGCAACGCCGCGUGAGUGAUGAAGGUCUUCGGAUCGUAAAACUCUGUUAUUAGGGAAGAACAUAUGUGUAAGUAACUGUGCACAUCUUGACGGUACCUAAUCAGAAAGCCACGGCUAACUACGUG
rnacentral:rRNA from 1 species